rnacentral:rRNA from 1 species
GUGGGGAAUCUUGCGCAAUGGGCGAAAGCCUGACGCAGCCAUGCCGCGUGAAUGAUGAAGGUCUUAGGAUUGUAAAAUUCUUUCACCGGGGACGAUAAUGACGGUACCCGGAGAAGAAGCACCGGCUAACUCCGUGCCAGCAGCCGCGGUAAUACGAAGGGGGCUAGCGUUGCUCGGAAUUACUGGGCGUAAAGGUAGCGUAGGCGGACAUGUAAGUCAGGGGUGAAAUCCCGGGGCUCAACCACGGAAUUGCCUUUGAUACUGGGUGUCUUGAGUGUGAGAGAGGUAUGUGGAACUCCGAGUGUAGAGGUGAAAUUCGUAGAUAUUCGGAAGAACACCAGUGGCAAAGGCGACAUACUGGCUCAUUACAGACGCUGGGGCUCGAAAGCGUGGGGAGCAAACAGGAUUAGAAACCCUGGUAGUCC